rnacentral:rRNA from 1 species
GACGAACGCUGGCGGCGUGCCUAAUACAUGCAAGUCGAGCGAGCUUGCCUAGAUGAUUUUAGUGCUUGCACUAAAUGAAACUAGAUACAAGCGAGCGACGGACGGGUGAGUAACACGUGGGUAACCUGCCCAAGAGACUGGGAUAACACCUGGAAACAGAUGCUAAUACCGGAUAACAACACUAGACGCAUGUCUAGAGUUUGAAAGAUGGUUCUGCUGUCACUUAUAGAUGGAUCCGCGCUGCAUUAGCUAGUUGGUAAGGUAACGGCUUACCAAGGCAACGAUGCAUAGCCGACCUGAGAGGGUGACCGGCCACACUGGAACUGAGACACGGUCCAG